rnacentral:rRNA from 1 species
GUCCACGCCCUAAACGAUGUCAACUAGGUGUUGGGAGGGUAAACCUUUAGUACCGGAGCUAACGCGUGAAGUUGACCGCCUGGGGAGUACGGCCGCAAGGUUAAACUCAAAGGAAUUGACGGGGACCCGCACAAGCGGUGGAUGAUGUGGAUUAAUUCGAUGCAACGCGAAAACCUUACCUACCCUUGACAUGUCAGGAACUUUCCAGAGAUGGAUUGGUGCUCGAAAGAGAACCUGAACACAGGUGCUGCAUGGCUGUCGU